AUUUCAGCGCUUCGGAACCUUGGCACUUCGGACAUUUGUAAGUAUCCGAAUGUCCGUAUGGCAUGAGAUUCGUACGAAUGUACAUUCGGAACGAAACUAAUUGCACAUAUCUAAUCUGAAUUAUACUCCCCAUGACAAAAGCCUCUUCCUACUUUAUUUUAUGUAUAACUAAUAGCCUAAGGGGAUUUAAAAAUAAAAAAUAAAAGCAAGACAAAAU